rnacentral:rRNA from 1 species
UACGUAGGGGGCAAGCGUUGUCCGGAAUCAUUGGGCGUAAAGCGCGCGUAGGCGGCCCGGUAAGUCCGCUGUGAAAGUCGGGGGCUCAACCCUCGAAAGCCGGUGGAUACUGUCGGGCUAGAGUGCGGAAGAGGCGAGUGGAAUUCCUGGUGUAGCGGUGAAAUGCGCAGAUAUCAGGAGGAACACCUGCGGUGUAGACGGCUUUCUGGACCAUUACUGACACUGAGACACGAAAGCGUGGGUAGCAAACAGG